ACCCUAGUCCCAGCCAUCCACCCCUGGCCGCCACCCUACCACCCGCCGCCACCACCCUGGAGCGUGGCUCCCCAUCCCCAACCUGCGACGCUGCGACAUCCACGACCCCGACCCAUGGCCUCCCACCUGCGAUGGCGCAGGUCCCCAUCCACCCGACGGUGGCCUGUCCAGCACGCGCACGAUGGGGAGUGACGGCGCCCCGGCUCCCCUCUCCUCGCGACGAGCAGCCCAACCCCCAUCUAGUCUAGUCAGCGAUCGAGAUUGUGGCAAGGGGGAUGGGUGCGACUUCCUCGCCGCGCUCCUCCAGAUCGUGGGCACACAGGGGCAACAGGUCGGUGAGGUUGCGCUGGCGGCGACAUGGCAGGGUGUGUGCUAGUGGCAUGUGUGUGCCUGCAGCCCUGUUCCUCAGAUCUAGCGGCGGUGGAGGCUUCUGCGAGCUCAUGUGGUGGCGUUGCGGGCCGAAGCGAAGGCGGCAACAUGGCUCGCACAACGAACAUGAUGUGCGGGCGCAGUGUAUUGCAACAACACCUCUCUUUAUUGCAGUUGACUUCUGACCAGAUGGUGAAAUGAUAAAGUACUCGAGAAGAUGCUAGAUUGGCCAAGACCGUGUUCUGAUGAUCGAUUUGGGGGAAACUCCACUCGGGAACAGAUGAACAACUAGCAUUAGAUUGGAUUAAUGUCGAUGGUUUUUUGUGUAAAAAAUUGUGAUUGUUCAUGAUCUACUCUAUAUAUUGUUUUGGAGUAGUUUCUAUGUGUUUUUAUGUGGUAACAAAAUUAAUCUUUAUUCAUUGAACUACUGAUUUCUAUGCAUUGACGGCGCCAAAACAUUUUUGUGCAUAUGAAUCUGAUCAUCCAUCACGUGCUAUUUUUUAAAUUUUAGUGAAAAUGAUAUCAUCUUCAUAUUUACGCGUGUGAUAACCAUGUUCUAUGCAUUAUUCACAUAUUAAUUAUACACCCCUUAUAUUGAGAAGCAUGAUGUCGGCGGAGGCAAUUACGGUUGUUUCUGGAGGAAUAUCCAUCUUGUGGAGAGAUUUUAUGCAGUCACAAAAUUAAAUUUUAUUCAUCAAACCACUAAUUUCUACGGCAGAAAAAACUUUUCUGUGUAUAUUGACAUAUGAUUCAAUGCAUCCAAUCGGGCAUCACGUGCCUUGAUUCAAAUUUCAAAUUGUGGGUCUCUUUUUCAUGAAGGCAUGUGGAUUGUAGGGUUUAUUUAGUUCUAAGCAUUGUUGCUAGUCUCUCUAGAGAGGGGGGUUUAUUUGGUUCUAUGCAUAGUUUCUCUAUUAAUGUGUCUUUAAUUUUCUAGUAUUUGUAUUGUGCAUAUUUUUCUAGCAUUAGUGAGUUUCUAUCUAUAUCAAAAUUAGAAAAUGAAGAGUUAACUAAUGCUUGUUUUUUGGUGGAGGCACUCCAGAUGGAUGAUUCUAUGUGCCUCUAUUUUUAUUUUUAUGCGCUCCGGCCAUGGCACUCAUGAGGCGGUCCAGUGUAUGACACAAUCCACCAGCUACACAUGCGAGGUGAUAAUAUUUUCUUGUUGUUGUUUGAUGAACUGAUAUGUGCUGCUUACUUGUUUCUAGGUAAGUUCCUGCGUUCUUCUCUGUAGAUCCCAAUUUCAAACCAAUUUCCAUUCCUUUUCUAUUCUGACCAUUCCACUCUAGGAGAAUUAAUUAAUCAUUGCUUGAACUGGAGCAGCAAGAAUAAGAGGAAGAAGAGAGACACCUAGAUGCAUAGAAAUUAAAAUCUUAUUUUAGGAUGCAUAAAAAUUAAAAUGUUAAUUUUUUAUGCAUAGAAAUAGACUUCUUUUUCAUGUAAGCUUGAGGCUUUCUUCUAUGCUUAACCUUGAUACAGUAUGAACAAAAUUGGAAAAUUAUUUUUUGGGUGCAUAGAAAUUGAAUUCUAAUUACUUGGAUGCAUAGAAACUUUUCGGAUGUAUUUAAAAUGUUCCGAUCUAGUCUGACUCUAUGAAAUUUGAUUGCUUGUAUUUUUUUAGACUUGGAACACAGGGCUUGGCCCACCUCAUUGGCUCCGACAUGAUGCCUCUCCUAUGGUGAUGACUUCUGUGACUAGUUCUAUAUUUUUUUAUUUUUUACUUGGUUACUAUGGUUUCAUGCCUAAUUGUGUAUGCAUGAUGAAAUUGUGUUCUCGUACCUGAUAAAAAACUAGUAUCAUGUUUCUACGCACUACUCAGUGAUUUAUUGGGAGCAUUCUAGCAUUGCUGGCUGCAGAGGGUGCUCAACAUUUCCACUUCUGUGAUUUAUUUUUCAUAUUUUUUCUAUGCAGGUUGUAUGAUUAUCCUCAGUCUUUCUAUGUGUAUACUCAAAACUUUCUCUGAUUUGUUACUACUAUUUUUAUACAUUGCUUGGAGCACAUUUUAUACAUUUUGUUGUUGGUUGGGUGCUAAGAUUUUUGCAUGCUGAUCCAAAGGAAAGAUAAUAGUUCUUAUAUUUGCAUGUAUAGAUUUUGAUGCAUGGUGAAACUGUGAUUAUGCUUAGUUGUAUUUGUUUCCACCCUAAUUGAUUUCAAAUUCUAAAUUUUGAAGAAGUCUUUAUACAUUGUGGAGCAGUCUUCUAUGCACUGUUAGAACAAUUCGACAUAUAUUAUUUGAAUAAUUAUCUCUAUGUAGCCUUGGAUUUUUAGUUCACAUGCAUUGUGGAGCACUUUUCUAUGCACUGUUAGAAUAAUUAUCUGCGCACAAUUCUUCUAUGCUUAGUUGUAUGGGUUUUAUCUGAUUUUUGAUUGCAGCCUUGGAUGAAUAGGUGGUUUGCAUGAAAUGAAAAGCUAUCAACGCAAAACCAUUCUGGUGGCAAGUCCAUGCAUGAUGCAAUCUAUGGCCGCGGUGCUGGUAGUUCACGGUGGCGGCGCUAAUGCGAAUCAGCGGUGGUGGUCGGUUGGAUGGAAGAUAGCAAAGGAGCAGCGCGACGUGACCAAGGAUUUUUGCAUUUUGUUUGUUAAAUUUGGUGUUCUUAUGCUUGUGUGCAUAAGUUUCUAUACACACAAUAGAGCACUUCUAUGCACUUUUGUAUUCUUAAUGCUUGUGAGCAUAAGUUUCUAUACAUUGUUGGAGUAGGUCUAUGUUGUUUUUAUGCGACAAUAAAUUCACUUUUUAUUCAUCAAAUUACUAAAUUCUAUGUAAUGUCGGCACGAAAAAUAUUUAAGUGUAUCUUGAUCACUGAAUUUAUAAAUCUGGUCGUCUAUCA